UUCCUUACAGACUAUGGUCAUCAGGAUGCCGGUCACGAUAUCAAGGAGCCGUCGGAAGGCUGAAAUUUUUGAAACGGCCUUUUUGUAUCAUAGACAUAGUUACGAUAAUAGCAUCGAUAGUGGUACUCGUGAUGGGAACAUCCGGCCAGGUCUUUGCUACGAGUGCAUUGCGUGGCCUACGGUUCUUCCAGAUCCUGCGCAUGGUGCGGAUGGACCGACGUGGAGGAACGUGGAAACUGCUAGGGAGCGUCGUUUAU